rnacentral:misc_RNA from 1 species
GGAUGGAUCACCUCCUUUCUAAGGAAACAUAGAAUCAUCAUCUUCAGUUUUGAAAGACUUAGUUAGGUUUUUCUAAUUUGAAAAACUUAGUUAAGUUUUUCUCAUUUCUUUUAUUUUUUGGUAUCCUGGGCCUAUAGCUCAGUUGGUUAGAGCACACGCCUGAUAAGCGUGAGGUCGGUGGUUCAAGUCCAUUUAGGCCCACCAAACGUUUUGCUAAAAAAAACGUGUUAUCAAAAAAAAGUUCUUUGAAAAGUAGAUAAACAAGAAAACAAUAGCCAUUUUUAAAGGAAGUAAGGGCGUACAGUGGAUGCCUUGGCACUAAGAGCCGAUGAAGGACGCAAUUAACGGCGAUACGCCAUGGGGAGUUGUAAAUAAAUGUAGAUCCAUGGAUUUCCGAAUGGGGCAACCUACUACAAUAAACUUGUAGUUUUUUAGUAGUUUACUACUAAAAAGGGAAACGCAGUGAACUGAAAUAUCUAAGUAACUGCAGGAAAAGAAAGUAACAACGAUUCCGGUAGUAGUGACGAGCGAAUCCGGACCAGCCUGAUACGAAUCCUAGUUAUCAAAGAAAAAAAUAUCUGAAGUUUUUGGAAAAAAACACCCUAGAAGGUAAGAGUCCUGUAAGGAAAAUUUUUUUCUCUAGCGUAUCGAAAAGUACGGCGAGACACGAGAAAUCUUGUCGGAAGACGGGAGGACCAUCUCCCAAGGCUAAAUACUCCUUAGUGACCGAUAGUGAACAAGUACCGUGAGGGAAAGGUGAA